GGGGUUGUGGCUCAGAGGUAGAGCACUCGCCUAGCACAUGUGAGGCACUGGGUUUGAUCCUCAGCACCACA
rnacentral:tRNA from 1 species